rnacentral:rRNA from 1 species
AAGCCCGUGAGAAUGCCCUCAAUCCCCCACCCGGGGACGAGGAGCAGGCAUCAGGCACAAACUUUAGCCCAAGACGCCUUGCCAUGCCACACCCCCAAGGGAAUUCAGCAGUGAUAGAUAUUAAGCCAUAAGUGAAAGCUUGACUUAGUCAGGGAUAAGAGGGCCGGUAAAACUCGUGCCAGCCACCGCGGUUAUACGAGAGGCCCUAGUUGAUGGACACGGCGUAAAGGGUGGUUAAGGUCCAAUACAAAUAAAGCCAAAAGACCUCUUGGCUGUCAUACGCCCCUGAGUUUCCGAAGCCCACGUACGAAAGUAGCUUUAAUAUUAUUCACCUGACCCCACGAAAGCUGAGAAACAAACUGGGAUUAGAUACCCCACUAUGCUCAGCCGUAAACUUAGGCGUUAUUUUACAAUAAACGCCCGCCAGGGUACUACGAGCAUUAGCUUAAAACCCAAAGGACUUGGCGGUGCCUUAGACCCCCCUAGAGGAGCCUGUUCUAGAACCGAUAACCCCCGUUAAACCUCACCACUUCUGGCCAUCCCC